UACAGGUGGUGCAUGGCUGUCGUCAGCUCGUGUCGUGAGGAUGUUGGGUUAAGUCCCGCAACGAGCGCAACCCUUGUCCCGUGUUGCCAGCAGGCCCUUGUGGUGCUGGGGACUCACGGGAGACCGCCGGGGUCAACUCGGAGGAAGGUGGGGACGACGUCAAGUCAUCAUGCCCCUUAUGUCUUGGGCUGCACACGUGCUACAAUGGCCGGUACAAUGAGCUGCGAUACCGUGAGGUGGAGCGAAUCUCAAAAAGCCGGUCUCAGUUCGGAUUGGGGUCUGCAACUCGACCCCAUGAAGUCGGAGUCGCUAGUAAUCGCAGAUCAGCAUUGCUGCGGUGAAUACGUUCCCGGGUCUUGUACACACC
rnacentral:rRNA from 1 species